rnacentral:rRNA from 1 species
AUUGAACGCUGGCGGCAUGCCUUACACAUGCAAGUCGAACGGCAGCACGGGAGCAAUCCUGGUGGCGAGUGGCGAACGGGUGAGUAAAGUAUCGGAACGUGCCCAGUCGGGGGGGAUAACGUAGCGAAAGUUACGCUAAUACCGCAUACGAUCUAUGGAUGAAAGCGGGGGAUCGCAAGACCUCGCGCGAUUGGGGGGGCCGAUAUCAGAUUAGGUAGUGGGUGGGGUAAAGGCUCACCAAGCCGACGAUCUGUAGCUGGUCUGAGAGGACGACCAGCCACACUGGGACUGAGACACGGCCCAGACUCCUACGGGAGGCAGCAGUGGGGAAUUUUGGACAAUGGGCGAAAGCCUGAUCCAGCCAUGCCGCGUGCAGGAUGAAGGCCUUCGGGUUGUAAACUGCUCUUGUACGGAACGAAAAGGUUUGGCCUAAUAAGCUGAGCUCAUGACGGUACCGUAAGAAUAAGCACCGGCUAACUACGUGCCAGCCGCCGCGGUAA